UCCGGAAUAGCUCAAUUGGUUAGAGUGCCGGGCUUUGAACCCGGAGGUUUCUGGUUCGAGUCCAGAUUCCGGAGCCA
rnacentral:tRNA from 1 species